UACGAGAGGCCCAAACGUUAUUCGGAAUUACUGGGCUUAAAGAGUUCGUAGGCGGCGCGGAAAGUAGGGUGUGAAAGCCCUCGGCUCAACCGAGGAAUUGCGCUCUAAACUACCGUGCUUGAGGAAGCUAGAGGUGAGCGGAACUGAUGGUGGAGCGGUGAAAUGCGUUGAUAUCAUCAGGAACACCGGAGGCGAAGGCGGCUCACUGGGGCUUUUCUGACGCUGAGGAACGAAAGCCAGGGGAGCGAAC
rnacentral:rRNA from 1 species